GAGGGGGUGCAACAGAGCCUCCUGAAAAUGAUGGAGGGAGCAGUCAUUAAGGUCCCUGACCUGAGUGGCAGUGGAAAGAAGACCAUUGAUGUUGACACCACCAACAUCCUCUUCAUCUUCUCUGGAGCCUUCAGCGGCCUCACUAACAUCAUUCAGAGGAGGACCAAUAUCAAGCCAUUUGGAUUCACCUCAGAGACACCUGAAGACAAGGAGGGUGCCAAUGCCACAGACACCAUCCACCAAUCAGAUACAACAGAUCAUGAAAAGGAUGAGAUCCUGCGUGCAGUAGAGGUUGAUGACCUAGUUAACUUUGGGAUGAUCCCAGAAUUCAUCGGCAGAAUCCCUGUCUUUGCUGUUUUUGAGAACAUGACCACAGAGAUGUUGAUAAAGAUCCUCAAAGAACCCAGAAAUGCUUUAAUUCCACAAUACGAGACUCUGCUAGAAAUGGAUGGGGCAAAACUGAAGUUUGAAGAAGAAGCUUUGGUGGCUGUUGCAGAGAAAGCUAAAGAAUCAGGGACAGGUGCACGUGCACUGAGAAGCAGAUUGGAAAAUAUUCUACUUGAGCCAAUGUAUGAAGCACCUAAUUCUGACAUUGAGGAAAUAAUUAUAACAAAAGAUACAGUAGAAAAUAAAACACCUCCAGUGUAUGUGCAACGAUCUAAGGACUUGGUAGUAUCCACUGAUAAAUUUGUAAUCAAACAGACAGAGCCUCCUUCUAUGAAAGUGAUGAAUCCACCACAGUCUCAGGCUUAGGUCUCAUAAACUUAAUUUUAGUAGCCUACAUGAUAUUCUUAAUGUAUGAUUUCAUCAACAUGGCUUAUUUAAACUUAUUAAAAUUUGAGAAUG
rnacentral:misc_RNA from 1 species